rnacentral:rRNA from 1 species
AAAGGCCACUUCGGUGGUACUCGAGCGGCGAACGGGUGAGUAACACGUGAGUAAUCUGCCCCUGGCUUCGGGAUAGCCACCGGAAACGGUGAUUAAUACCGGAUAUGACACGGACUCGCAUGGGUUUGUGUGGAAAGUUUUUCGGCCAGGGAUGUGCUCGCGGCCUAUCAGCUUGAUGGUGAGGUAAUGGCUCACCAUGGCUUCGACGGGUAGCCGGCCUGAGAGGGUGACCGGCCACACUGGGACUGAGACACGGCCCAGACUCCUACGGGAGGCAGCAGUGGGGAAUAUUGGACAAUGGGCGGAAGCCUGAUCCAGCAACGCCGCGUGAGGGAUGACGGCCUUCGGGUUGUAAACCUCUUUCAGUACCGACGAAGCGCGAGUGACGGUAGGUACAGAAGAAGCACCGGCCAACUACGUGCCAGCAGCCGCGGUAAUACGUAGGGUGCGAGCGUUGUCCGGAAUUAUUGGGCGUAAAGGGCUCGUAGGCGGUUUGUCGCGUCGGGAGUGAAAACGCCGUGCUUAACACGGCGCUUGCUUCCGAUACGGGCAGACUAGAGGUAUUCAGGGGAGAACGGAAUUCCUGGUGUAGCGGUGAAAUGCGCAGAUAUCAGGAGGAACACCGGUGGCGAAGGCGGUUCUCUGGGAAUGACCUGACGCUGAGGAGCGAAAGUGUGGGGAGCGAACAGG